rnacentral:rRNA from 1 species
UUUGAAUGGCAUCACGAGGGCUUAACUGUCUCCCCUCCCCAGUCAAUGAAAUUGAUCUCCCCGUGCAGAAGCGGGGAUAAUACCAUAAGACGAGAAGACCCUAUGGAGCUUUAGACGUCAGAGCAGCCCAUGUAAAGCACCCCUUAACAAAGGAAAAAACCAAAUGAAGCCUGCCCUAAUGUCUUUGGUUGGGGCGACCGCGGGGAAAUACAAAACCCCCAUGUGGAGUAGGAAUACACAUUCCUAAACCCAAGAGCUCCCGCUCUAAUGAACAGAAAUUCUGACCAAUAAGAUCCGGCACACGCCGAUCAACGGACCGAGUUACCCUAGGGAUAACAGCGCAAUCCCCUUAAAGAGCCCUUAUCGACAAGGGGGUUUACGACCUCGAUGUUGGAUCAGGACAUCCUAAUGGUGCAGCCGCUAUUAA